AUGGAGCACGCGGUCCUUUCUGAUUCUGGCAUCCUUAAAACUUUGAGAGCUUCUCCGACAACAAGGAAAGGAAGCAGAAGAAGCAAUGUCCAAUCAGGCCAAAAAUCCGGGAAGGCUCUCGGGAGAGCAAGUUUUGUCAAUCUUCUCAGUCAGUUCUUGAAAGCAAAAAAGGAAUCUUGGGAGUAUCAGCGUUCGGUUGGCUUCAAAACCUGAAUCUAAAGGGAUUGAAACAUCUAGGCAACAAACAAUGACGAAGAACUUUUUGCCCAACAUGGAUAAUUCUUAUGAGAGUUUAAAACCGAAUCUCGGGGCAUCUACAUCGAAAUCAAAUGCGAAACCUUGUGGUUUUUUCCCAGAGAUUAGGAGUUUUGGUGCCUCCAGUUCCAAGGAAGAUACCAACAUGAUGACAGAUUUCAGAAAACCAGCAAAAGUGGAACCAAAGAAUUCCCAGAUGACCAUAUUUUUUGGUGGUCAAGUGGCAGUAUUUAAUGACUUCCCAGCUGACAAGUUCAAGGAAAUCAUGGACUUAUUAGCUAGCCAUGGAUGCUCAACCGCAAGCGGUGUUGUUGUUGAUACUGUCAUGGAAAAAGUUAAGUCUAAAACAGUCCAAAUCGAGCCUAGCAAUCAUGAAAUUCCAGACCUGAAUGUUUCUACCGCGACUGGGAAUAGUCCUCCUCCCCCUCAUGAUUCUUCCGUUGAAUGGCAUCAAUAUGGCGGUUCAGGACCUUCAGAUCUUCGAAUUGCAAGAAGAAAUUCACUUCACAAGUUUUUCGAAAAGAGAAAAGAAAGGGCAACAGCUAGAGCGCCAUACCAAGUUAACAACGCAAGAGGAUCGACUCUGCCACCUAAACCCGAUGAAAACAAAUCAUCUCACGAGGAAGGUCAAUCAUCGAAAGAAGCCUCAAGAGAUCUUGAUCUCAAGUUAUAGUAACAUACAUUUUUUCACUUCACUUAGGACCACCUUAGUGAAUAUAGGUUUAAGGUUCUUCUGUUUACAAUCAGAUUAAGAUCUGAUUUCCUUUUUUGUGCGAGUUUCAUCCAUUGAUAGCUAGAAGAAGGAAAAAAAAAAAAAAACCCACAAGAAACUGUUUUCUAUCGUCUUCACGAUGGAACUUCACCAAUGUUUGGUUAUUGUUGUUGGCAAGUAGGGAACCAGACAGAAAGCAGAUGACAACUUCAUUAAAUGGUUUCAAGAUUGAUGAAUCAGAAAAGGUUCCAAGUAUGUAUUCAAGUUCUAUCUUUAGUCAUGUUACUUGAAUUUUCUAUUUUUUCGGUACCUUAAAUCCUACACAAAUUCGAACAUAUGCGAAGAUAUCUGCCAAAAUGUAUAAAGAAAUUUUGAGACACUUUACCCAUUUCAGCAAAAGAAUCUUUCUUCAUAGAAUAAA